CCGAUUUGCUAGCAACCCGACCCGUCUUACCUUUUUAAAUACAUACCUUAUAUUUUUUCCCCUCUCCCCUAACCCUUGAAGCCACCGGCCUCCCCCACACCUCCAUUCGAACCCUAGUAACUUUGGAGGAGAUAGAAGAAGAAUCUCGUCAGAACGCUCAAGGUCAUUUUUCCUUACGUCUCGCUGGCUAUCUUUCAUACGCAAAACACCAAAAAAUAAGAAAACAGAGGGACUCGAUGGAUGAGCUAGCUCGUACCUGACAGUGCACACUCGACGGCCAUGUCCUUUUCUUUUCAGCUUAUGUUAUUAUUUGUUUUGGAGUUGGUUGCACUUUCGGGUCUUUAAGUGUUAAGUCAUAUGGUUGCUUUUGAUUUACAGACAGGAUUUUGUGUUACCGCUUUAUAGUGAACAUUCUGUUUAGAUGCUCGAUACUCACAUUUGAUUUAUCCAAUGUUAUUUAUUCGUUGUUGAUUGUGUUG